GACGAACGCUGGCGGCGGGCUUAACACAUGCAAGUCGAACGGAAAGGCCCUGCUUUUGUGGGGUGCUCGAGUGGCGAACGGGUGAGUAACACGUGAGUAACCUGCCCUUGACUUUGGGAUAACUUCAGGAAACUGGGGCUAAUACCGGAUAGGAGCUCCUGCUGCAUGGUGGGGGUUGGAAAGUUUCGGCGGUUGGGGAUGGACUCGCGGCUUAUCAGCUUGUUGGUGGGGUAGUGGCUUACCAAGGCUUUGACGGGUAGCCGGCCUGAGAGGGUGACCGGCCACAUUGGGACUGAGAUACGGACCAGACUCCUACGGGAGGCAGCAGUGGGGAAUAUUGCACAAUGGGCGGAAGCCUGAUGCAGAAACGCCGCGUGCGGGAUGACGGCCUUCGGGUUGUAAACCGCUUUCGCCUGUGACGAAGCGUGAGUGACGGUAAUGGGUAAAGAAGCACCGGCUAACUACGUG
rnacentral:rRNA from 1 species